rnacentral:rRNA from 1 species
AGAGCGAACGCUGGCGGCAGGCCUAAUACAUGCAAGUCGAACGGAUCCUUCGGGAUUAGUGGCGGACGGGUGAGUAACACGUGGGAACGUGCCCUUUGGUUCGGAACAACUCAGGGAAACUUGAGCUAAUACCGAAUGUGCCCCCUUCUUAACCGGAGGGUGGGAAAGAUUUAUCGCCAUUGGAGCGGCCCGCGUCUGAUUAGCUAGUUGGUAGGGUAAAGGCCUACCAAGGCUACGAUCAGUAGCUGGUCUGAGAGGAUGAUCAGCCACACUGGGACUGAGACACGGCCCAGACUCCUACGGGGGGCAGCAGUGAGGAAUUUUCGUCAAUGGGGGCAACCCUGAACGAGCAACGCCGCGUGCAGGAGAAGGUUUUCGGAUCGUAAACUGCUUUUCUCGGGGAAGAGAACGGACGGUACCCGAGGAAUCAGCCCCGGCUAACUACGCGCCAGCAGCCGC